GCUGGAGACUGUGGGGUUAAGAGCUGCACCCUUGCUGCCUGGGAGUCCCUUGGAUUCCAGCAUUGACUUUAUAAUUAACCACUUUAAGGAUUCCCCUGAACUUCCUUUCUCAGUAUAACCAGGAAAAGAAGUUAAGAGAUUUUGAAAAGUGACUCUUGGGGCACAAAACUGCAUGAGAGACAGAACCCUGCAAAGUGAAUUGCCCCGUAUUUCUCAGGAACUGCAACGUAGUCAGCAACCAGACUCUAAUCAGCUAAGACAGGGCUCUGCUGUUCUGUCUACAUUUUAGUUAGCUCCAGGGCUGGGGAGAGAGGGUUGUGGGCUCAUCUGUUCACGAGGGCAAAAGGGUGGAAGUGAGUAGGAGACAUGCAUCUCGUUAAGCAGGACAUCUGUUUCAGAGAAGUGGGGCGAGUUUGGGAACUGUGCAAGAACAUAAAGGCAAGGAAGACUCCUGAAGCAUCGCUAAGGUGGAUCAAAUUUUCUUUCUAUCCGCCAAAAUAAAUGGACUGGUUUUUGCAGUGGAAGUGAUUGAACCAAAAAUACAGCUCAUGGCUUACAAUUGUGCUUUCUUCUCUGUUUUUCGGUUGGAAUGAUUGCUUACUGUACAUGGAUCCAAUUCCAGCAGUUACAGAGCCUUUGGGAGGCAAUUGUGCCAUGAGAAGAGCCCUCAUGAAUGGGAUUAGUUCCCUUAUAAGAAGAGACACCAAAGAAGUGAUCUUUCUCUCCCUCUGCUACGUGAAGACACGGUCAUCUGCAGUUUUUUGUUGUUGUCGUUGAUGAUCUUCCUGUCAUAGACAAUGCUGUAACAAACAGACUAACAGAGUCUUGCUCUGUCACUUGGGCUGAAGUGCAGCGGCAUGAUCUCGGCUCACUGCAACCUCCGCCUCCCAGGUUCAAGCGAUUCUCCUGCCUCAGUCUCCAGAGUAGCUGGAAUUACAGGCAUGCACCACCAUGCCUGGAGGUAUUCCUGGAAAGAUAUUCGACAAGCAGGGAAGACUGGUUGCCUCUGGAUAAGGAAAAUGCCAGGAGAUAAUAAGCUCACUUCACCUCAGGACCUUUGCAGCAGCUCUACCCUGUGCUUAGAUUGAUCUGUCACAGAAACUUAAAGUCCAGCUGAUUCUCAUUCUUCAGAUUCCAGGUAAAAUAUCACUCCCUCAGAAAGGUUUCCCUUCCCACCCAAUCAGAAGUCACAACCCUGUCACAUAACUUUGUUUAAAUUAUCUGUAACUCACUCACCGUCAUCUGAUAUAUUUAUUUUCUAGUUCUUUUUAUUUGUUCAUUCAUUCAUUUAUUUAAAAAAUU